rnacentral:rRNA from 1 species
AAAACGACUCUCGGCAACGGAUAUCUCGGCUCUCGCAUCGAUGAAGAACGUAGCGAAAUGCGAUACUUGGUGUGAAUUGCAGAAUCCCGUGAAUCAUCGAGUCUUUGAACGCAAGUUGCGCCCGACGCCAUUCGGCCGAGGGCACGUCUGCCUGGGUGUCAU